rnacentral:ncRNA from 1 species
AUAAUGAUACUCCCGCAUAGUCGAGGUUAGGUCCCAGAGUGCGGCCCGGAGGCUCUCGGGGAGGUGGAAUUCCUGUGA